UGGAUAGGGCAAUCAAAGAAAUAGUGUCUUGCAUGUCACAUGAGCUAAGCUUCCAGCCAGACUUGCAACCAUCAAGUGUGCUGCAUUAUAUAUUCGUGUCUCAUCAGAUUCCAUGGCAUAAUCCUUCAAAACAAGAUCCUUCGUUGUCUGGGUCGCUAUAGAAACACUACGCUGAACGAUGCUGGACACUAUUUCUUUGAUAGCUCUAUCCAUUACAAUAGGAACCACUCUUUGAAAAUGCAAGUGCAACCCACAAGAAUUGAGCUUUGGGUUGAUUAUAACAUGAGUUCCAAUGUUGGGUAUUGCCGUGGGAAGCUGAUUGACAGAAAAAGGCGACUGGGAUGGAGUAGCUUGAAAUAGUCCUUGAGCAGAAGGAAGCUGGUCAGACAAGCCUAGCGCAGCUAGUUUCUCAUCCUCCAUCAGUGUCCCCGAAGGAAGAUGAACAGGAGCAGCAUACUGAGAUAACAAAUGUGUAUGGCCACCGGAAUUAGAUGGAUUGGCAACCUCAAGUGAUAACUCAGCAUGAUUUAGUGGAGAGAUCAUUCCAGACUUGGCUUCAGCAACAAUCUGUGGUUGUG
rnacentral:misc_RNA from 1 species